UUUAACCCGUUCUAACCUUUUGAAAAUCACUUUCGAUGACCGUAAGCACGCUUUCGGCACCGGAGCAACCUUCAGAGAUCAGACGGGUAGCCCCCGAAGGGGUAUCCGUUGCAAUCCUCAAUCCCAAUCGUCACAUCUACCAGAGUCUAUAACACUUCGAUACGAGACCAAAGCUACAUUCCUCCAAUCAUUUUAUGACGACCGAAAUUGAUGUUAACCCACCACACGGACAAGUACACCAAAUGUGCACGAAUAUGCAAAACAUGAAGGCGGUUAAGCUCCUCACGCC
rnacentral:rRNA from 1 species